rnacentral:rRNA from 1 species
AGAGUUUGAUCCUGGCUCAGAGCGAACGCUGGCGGCGUGCUUAACACAUGCAAGUCGAACGCGCAGCAGUUUGUAGCAAUACAGAUUGUGGGCGCGUGGCGAACGGGUGCGUAACACGUGGAUAACCUUCCUUCAGGUGGGGAAUAACCCAGUGAAAAUUGGGCUAAUACCGCAUAACAUGACGAUGCCACAUGGCGUUGUCUUCAAAGCCGCAAGGCGCCAGAAGAGGGAUCCGCGGCCGAUUAGCUAGUUGGCGAGGUAAUGGCUCACCAAGGCUUUGAUCGGUAGCCGGACUGAGAGGUUGGCCGGCCACACUGGAACUGAGACACGGUCCAGACUCCUACGGGAGGCAGCAGUGGGGAAUCUUGCACAAUGGACGAAAGUCUGAUGCAGCAACGCCGCGUGGGGGAUGAAGCUUUUCGGAGUG